GCGGCGGAACGCGAAGCGGUCGAGCGGCAGCGCUGUGAACGCUGAGAAUAGCGGGUUCGAGUCCCGUCCGUCGCC
rnacentral:tRNA from 1 species